AAAUACAUUGAUGACACCCUAGACACACACAAUUUCAUAUGAUUUUGGCUGCUGAGCAGAGAUGGGCCAAGCUGGUCCUUGGAUGGGAAAUGACCUUGGACUAUAAGGUGCUGUAAGUU
rnacentral:rRNA from 1 species